AAGGAGGCAAGAGGGAGCACAGUGUGGGGAAAAAAGCUGGCAGCCCAGUUUGGCCCCCCUGAGACUGGACAUCAGAGCGAAGGUUGGGGGCAGAGCUGGGUCAUGCAGAACCUAAAAGCCCAGUGUGAGCUUCACCCUGUUGGCAUGCUUGGCAGCCUGAGCUCAUGGAGUCCUGGGUUUCCAAAGGUGCCUCUGGGGCCCUGUGGGCUGGGGUCCCGGAGCUAGGAGAUGAGUGGCAGGGCUCCUGGCUGCCCAUGUGUGCUUC
rnacentral:lncRNA from 1 species